CCUACGGGUGGCAGCAGUAGGGAAUUUUCGUCAAUGGGCGCAAGCCUGAACGAGCGAUGCCGCGUGAGUGAAGAAGGCCUUCGGGUCGUAAAGCUCUGUUGCGGGGGAAAAAAGGCAGCAUCAGGAAAUGGGUGCUGACUGAUGGUGCCCCGCCAGAAAGUCACGGCUAACUACGUGCCAGCAGCCGCGGUAAUACGUAGGUGGCGAGCGUUAUCCGGAAUGAUUGGGCGUAAAGGGUGCGCAGGCGGUCCUGCAAGUCUGGAGUGAAACGCAUGAGCUCAACUCAUGCAUGGCUUUGGAAACUGGAGGACUGGAGAGCAGGAGAGGGCGGUGGAACUCCAUGUGUAGCGGUAAAAUGCGUAGAUAUAUGGAAGAACACCGAUUGCGAAGGCAGCCUGCUGGACUGUAACUGACGCUGAUGCUCGAAAGUGUGGGUAUCAAACAGGAUUAGAUACCCGGGUAGUC
rnacentral:rRNA from 1 species